AUUACCGCGGCUGCUGGCACGUAGUUAGCCGUGGCUUUCUGGUUAAAUACCGUCAAAGCGUAAACAGUUACUCUUACACUUGUUCUUCUUUAACAACAGAGUUUUACGAGCCGAAACCCUUCAUCACUCACGCGGCGUUGCUCCAUCAGACUUUCGUCCAUUGUGGAAGAUUCCCUACUGCUGCCUCCCGUAGGAG
rnacentral:rRNA from 1 species